rnacentral:rRNA from 1 species
GACGAACGCUGGCGGCGUGCCUAAUACAUGCAAGUUGAGCGCUGAAGGUUGGUACUUGUACCAACUGGAUGAGCAGCGAACGGGUGAGUAACGCGUGGGGAAUCUGCCUUUGAGCGGGGGACAACAUUUGGAAACGAAUGCUAAUACCGCAUAAAAACUUUAAACACAAGUUUUAAGUUUGAAAGAUGCAAUUGCAUCACUCAAAGAUGAUCCCGCGUUGUAUUAGCUAGUUGGUGAGGUAAAGGCUCACCAAGGCGAUGAUACAUAGCCGACCUGAGAGGGUGAUCGGCCACAUUGGGACUGAGACACGGCCCAAACGCCUACGGGAGGCAGCAGUAGGGAAUCUUCGGCAAUGGACGAAAGUCUGACCGAGCAACGCCGCGUGAAUGAAGAAGGUUGUCGGAUCGUAAAACUCGGUUGGUAGAGAAGAAAGUUGGUGAGAGUGGAAAGCUCAUAAAGUGACGGUAACUACCCAGAAAGGGACGGCUAACUACGUG